GCCACCUCGGGCUCCCAUCCCGGCCCUGCACAGGUCCUAACUCCUCCCUGCUGGCAUCUCUCCAGCCAUGGCAGACAGCCCAGCUUGGGAAAGCACUGGGCUGGCCCAGUGGUGAGUGUCCCAGCCGGGUAACCCAGCCCCAGCUUGACAAAUAAUAUCUGCAGCUUGUCUAGCCUGGCAGUGAGAGCCCGGCCAAAGGGCCAAGUUCCAAGCUAGGUCUUCAAAGGACAGAAAAGACUCUGGAAACUACAUGACAACUGGCCACAGAUCUCUACGGAGUUAUCCUAAGAAGAAAUCACACCCGGUCCCCAAACGCACAGGUCCACCAAGGAGAGCAGAAAACAGAGGACGUCAAAGGCGGAUGGGUAGCAGGAACACAGUCUCAAAUAUUCCGUUUCAUCAUCUGCAACAUGGAAGCAAGCGUAGUGUCACUUUGCAGAUUCUUUAUCACUGAGCCACCGAGGAAGGCCUGUAUAAGACUAAGCCACACUCUUGCUCCCUGGAAGAGGACUACCUGACAGCAAAAAAGGGGAGACUUUGAGAAGACAGAGGCCCUGCAGAAGGAGUGUUCCAGAAUGUGUGAGAAAUCCUUGGUCUAACUUCACUUCCCUGUUCUUCAGCCAGGCUUUGUCGGGGUCUAUGCAUAUAUGUAUGUAUUAAUAUAUGUAUGUCUGUCUUUACAGCAGACAGAAUAAAGGGGAAAAAAGCGUU